GAGAGAGAGAGAGAGAGAGAGAGAGCAGCCCAGAAGAGCUUCGCAAAUACACUACGUGGAUACAUGAUUGGAGAGAACUGUCGACAUUGAUUGAGCAAGGCGUGGUCUUUAGAUCAACUUACAAGUGUGUACAGAAGCCAAGCAUUAUUGUUUCAACAAGCAGCACCAGAAACUAUAAUAGCAAGAAGCACUCGGAGAAGAAA